rnacentral:lncRNA from 1 species
AGUAACCGUUAAAUUCAGGAAUUUCAAAAUAUGAAUAUGGAGAAAGCAAAUCUUGAAGAGAUUCAUAUAGUGAAUGAAGAACAGAGAGAAGCUGUGAUGGAAGAACAUUUUGUAACACUGUGAGUAACCCUAACAAUGACCACAUUUGUGAUAAUAUCUCCAUUUUUUGUAUGAGAUUUUUUUUGUGUUGUUUUAGUUCUGAAUAAUUGAAUAGAAUGUAAUUGCAUUGUUUUGUGUUGGGUUGUGAAUGAAAAAGAAGGAUUAAAUAAUUAUGAAAUUGCAUUGAGGAGGGUAAAGUUAAAGGUAAAGAUGAUUAAACCGACCACUUUACUUUUUUUGCUUUUACUUUGUUGGUUUGUAGAUAUGGUUGAUUUUCUUUGUUCAUGGAUGGACUUAGUAUAGAAUUAUUUGCAUGGUUACUAUAUACAAUCGUGUGUUACACUUAAGACAUGCUUUGUCUUAGUAUAGAAUCUUUGAAAAUGAAAAUUUAUGUUUGCCAAAGGUUCUUUCUUCCAUUUUGUUGCUCUUUUUUAUUUUUUCACCAAAAAAAAUCAAUUGCAUCAAUGGUACAUUACUACAUUUCUAUCUUUGUUGCCUAGAAACCAAAACCAAGAAAAAUGCUUGUUUUUGCCAAUGGUUCAGUCGCAAGUCGCAACCUUCAUCCAUUGUAGUUUUUGUUUUUUUGUUUUUAAUAAAUAACCAUUUUGGUUGCUAGAUGUGUGAGGCGUUCUCACUAUAGGGUCAUUUUGAUUCGUAAAAAGUAAAUACCGGAUAUAACAAUACAAGAUAAAUAUUUAAGUUAUUGAACAAAUUUUUAUUUACAUGUUUUAAAUACCCUGUGCAAGGGACAAAAAGUUGUCCUCUGAUUUAGUGAGGGAAAAAUUUCAGUUUUUUCCGGUCUCUUGUCCCCCAAUUUGUCUAGUCUUAAGAAUGGUUUUAAGAUCAAAACAGUACAAUUAAAGUUGUCCUGUUCAAUCCCUUAUAUUUUAGUAGAUCAAACGCAAAUCUUUUUUUUGUGGAUAAACAACCAUUUUGGUGGUCUUUGAAUGUGAGAUGUUGUUACUAUAGUAUCUGAGUAUAUUGAAAUUACAAAUAAAUCUCUAAGUGUCUCUUUUGUUAGUAAUUUUAUUUAUGAACUAAAUUGACCAACAAAAAUACAUUCGAGUACUAAACUAACUAACUAAAGAUGAGAAUGGAUUCUCUCAAGUGUGAUUUACACUUGAGAGAAUAAAGUGUAAUCUAACACCAUCUAAAUUCAUUUUCUCUAAAUUUUUAUAUGUUUCUCUCCCUUAAUCAAUGGUAACAAACCACACUUUAUUCUCUCAAGUGUAAAUUACACUUGAGAGAAUCCAUUCCCAACUAAAGAUACAUUUAAGGACCAAAAUGAGUAACAAAAGACUCGUUUAUGUAUUUUUGUUUUUAAUUUUGAUACAUUCAAAUACCAUUGUGACAACACAUCACACAUUUAAGAAUCAAAAUCACUGUUUACUCUUUUCUUUCUUUCCCCUGUUUUCUUGGAUUGUUUUCUGCAUAUUGUAUGUUGUUUGGUGUAUUUAUUUGUUCUGGUUAGGAUUAAUUUUAUGGUUAUUCAUAACGUGUUAGCAACACACCUUCUAACACAUUCUUCCAAACGCACACACUCUGAUUGGUCGAAAUUCAAACAAGUCUCACUAAAUUGUGUAGGUCUGACAUAAGUUUUGAUCUAUGAAUUUAGACAACCAACAACCAAGCCUUAUUCCACUAAAUCUGGUAUUCUAACUACUUCGGCCAUGUCCUUUGUUCUAUAUGAAUUUAGACCCUUGGGAAAAAAGUGUGAAAAAGAGAAUAUUAAACGGUGUAUAUUGCUAACAUUUCGCUUUCUCAAAUUCAAUCUAGUGUUACAAGCAUCUUUGGUCUUGUGUGAGUUGUAAAUAAUACCCAUUAGGCCAUAUAAUUUUACAAUGCACACGUAGUAACUUGCUUUAGUAAAAGGUUUUCAAGGGAUAAUAGCAGCAUCAAUGCCAACACAUGGUGUAAGUAAGAGUAUGGUAUGGUGGGCAUGCAGGGGAUCUGCUUUUACACUUUCUUGACAAAUCACACUUUAUUCUUUACCUUCUUUGUUCUUGUAAUUUGCGCAUUCAUAUGUCAGAGAAUGUUCUUUUGUAUUAUUAUAACUCAUCAGUCACUCAUCAUGAGUACUAAGUGGGAGAUGAUAAUGAGGGGAUGAUUAUUAUGAUGAUUAUGUACUAUUGAUUACUUUCAUGUUUUACUGAGCCAUGUUGGUUCAAAUUGGUACAUAUGAAUGAACCCAUUUGAUACUUUUAUAUUCUUUGUAUAUCUAUUCAUGUUAUUUUUUUCCUUUUAUCUUUGUACUUUAGGGGCUAUUGCUGCAUCUUCUAAUUAUAAGGUUAGAUUUCAAUGCACAAGUAUGAUUGCAAUUUGUUAAAAAAAAUGCCUAUAUACAAACAUUGUGCUGAUUUGGUUUGGCAAUUUCAUAUAUGCAUCAAACUUUUUCAAUUCAUUAUUUUAGGCUUUUACUUAUUGGUAUGCAAAGUGGUGGGAAAUGGCCUAUGAGAUUUUGGUAUAUAGAUAUAUUAAAGUUAUGCAUAAGCAUAUGCAUGGUGGUAUUCUUUCUUGUGCAUUACAUUUCUUUGAUAUCUUUACAUGCUUAUGCUUUUGAAGCAAAGUUUAAUUUAUGCUUCUUUACAGAAAUUUGUCUAAAUCUCCUUUUAAUAAAGCAAUGCUAUUUGCACCAUCAGAUUAUAAUCCUGUGGUGUUGAGAUAUCAUUCUUAUCUAAUCUUUCUUGCCUCUUCAAUGGUUUUAGGUAUCCACUCAUAAAAAUGGUUGAUAUUUUGAGAAAGGGAGCAUGUAAAAGAGAAAAUAAAAGGGGGGAUAAAAAGAAAAAGAGGCAUGUGUAUAAGCAUUAAAAGCCACGAAUAUGUUGGAUGGGCAAAAAAUUCAGUGUAGGUCAGCCUUGAGAGAAAGCUAAGGUUAAAUGAAGGGUAUCAAGAAUAAAGCCAUAAAAAGUGUUCUCAUAUGGAAUGUCAAUGAUCAAAGGGAUCAUAUUCCAUCUAAGAAAUAUGUUAAUAUUGCAAGAUUGAUUCAUCAAGAGAACAGAAGAGCCUUAAGCAGAGGAGUGUUAUUUGUAGCAGAAGUUCUAAAUCAAGCUGCAGUUAAUAUGUACUAGAAUGAAAAAUUUCACUUCAACUAUCUAUAUACUAUAAGUCAAUUAGUUAAUUAGAUCUUGACUAACUAUUAGAUUGUAAUGUAAUUAUGUAUAAUAUUAAAGUGUAGGGUUAGACUUCUGCUUUAAUUGAGGCAUCAUGCAUCACGCACUAUUUGACUUUUUUAAUAAUUGUUUGAGCUGCCUCGGUGUGCAUGCAUAGAGUGAAUGAGCUGCGUUGUCGUAUUUUUG